rnacentral:rRNA from 1 species
AAACAUGGCUCCUUGUAUAAGUUAAAUAGGGAGUCGGACCUGCCCGGUGAAUAUAUUUUUAACGGCCGCGGUACUUUGACCGUGCAAAGGUAGCAUAAUCAUUUGCCUUAUAAUUGAAGGCUAGUAUGAAUGGUUUGACAAGAAUGUAGCUGUCUCUUUGUGAUUAUAUAGAAUUUUACUUUCAGGUGAAGAGGCCUGAAUUAAAUUAAAAGACAAGAAGACCCUAUCGAGCUUUAAAGAAAUUAAUGGGUUUAUGAUUAAUAAAACUAAAAAAUUGACCAUUAAAAAUUUUGGUUGGGGCGACUGAGGAACAGAAAAAGCUUCCUUUAUAAUUUUAUAAAUUAAUAAAUAUUGAUCCAAAACAUUUUGAUUAAAAGAAUUAGUUACCGUAGGGAUAACAGCAUUAUCUUUUUUAAGAGCUCUUAUCGAAAAAAAGGUUUGUGACCUCGAUGUUGGACCAGAAUAUCCUGAAGAUGCAGUAGUCUUUAAGGGUUGGUCUGUUCGACCAUUAAAAUUCUACGUGA